rnacentral:rRNA from 1 species
UAGUCCACGCCGUAAACGAUGAUUACUGGUUGUGCGCGAUACACAGUGCGUGACUGAGGGAAACCAUUAAGUAAUCCACCUGGGGAGUACGUUGGCAACAAUGAAACUCAAAGGAAUUGACGGGGGCCCGCACAAGCGGAGGAACAUGUGGUUUAAUUCGGUGAUACGCGAGGAACCUUACCUAGGCUAUAAUGUGAUUGACCGGACCUGAAAGGGUCCUUCUCUUCGGAGCAAGAAACAAGGUGCUGCAUGGUUGUUGUCAGCUCGUGCCGUGAGGUGUCAGGUUAAGUCCUAUAACGAGCGCAACCCCUACCGUUAGUUGCCAGCAAGUAAAGUUGGGGACUCUAGCGGGACUGCCGGUGCAAACCGAGAGGAAGGUGGGGAUGACGUCAAAUCAUCACGGCCCUUACGUCCUGGGCUACACACGUGCUACAAUGGUCGGUACAGAGGGCAGCCACUACGCGAGUAGGAGCGAAUCCUUAAAACCGAUACUCGGUUCGGAUCGGAGUCUGCAACUCGACUCCGUGAA